GGGAGCUCUCUGUGCUUGUCUUACUUGUGAAAUCUCCCCAGGAAGAUUCUGGAACUUGGUUUCUCGUCCACACUCAUGUGCAUGGACUCAAGAAGGAGCUGCCAGGACAGCUGUCUGCCUGCAGGGACCUGGACUUCCUCCAGACAUCCUAAGCCAGACCUCGGGCCACAGAGACAGAGAAACGGGUGAGAUGACCCAGCUGGCUGCAAGCCCAGAAGAUGCAUGCCGUGCCUUCCUGAAGACAAAAUAAAAUUAUUGAGAGGCAGAGCAGAAUGUCCCCAGCCUAAUGUUCACCAACCUGUCAACACAGAGGGAUGAUAAUUUGCUAAAAUCCAAAUAGUCCAAGAAAGAAUGACCAUAUGUUCCUGACCUUAGAGUCCUGCAGACAGACGACCACUCUCAGAAACAAAUCAAAAGAAAGUGGCAGAUAUUACUUCCAAGAAGACUCAGUGGGAUUCUCUCUACUCUGUCAUGCUGGUCUUUGGAACAUAUGUCAAGACAGUGCCACCUCUAACAGACUAGAUCAUUGAUCCACUGUGCCACCUCCAUCAGACUAUAUCAUCGAUCUGUUGGUGUACAAGAGCCUCCCAGAAACCCACACUGAAUAUAUAGAAUGUAAGGAGUAGGGGUGGAGGUGGGGGAUCACUCACAGUCAUCAAAAACAUGAGGACCUGAGCUCAGAUCCUACAUACCAUGUGAACGUCAGGAUGUGGCAACCCCUGACUGUAAUCCUAGUGCUGGUGAGACAGAGACAGGAGGAUUCCUAGAGUUCACUAGUCAGAUAGUCUUGGAAAAUUAGAUGAGCCCCAGGUCUGGUG